rnacentral:tRNA from 1 species
GGCCACGUGGCGAAGAGGAAACGCUGCGGUCUGCAAAACCGCGAUGCGAGGGUUCGAUUCCCUCCGUGGCCU